GUUUUCUAAGGGGCCCUUCCCACUUUGUUGAGCACUUCUUCUUCCUGUUGAGCAGGAAGAAGAAGUUCCUUGCUUCCCCUUCACCUUCUGCUGUGAUCGUGAGUUUCCUGACGGCCCAGCCAUGCUGAACUGGUCUAGUCGUGUUGCUUAGGCCGAUCUUGAAUGCCUGGGCUCAGGAGCGUUUCCACCUCAGCUUUCCAAACGGCUGGGACGGUAGAUGUGCGCCAUGGUGACUGGCAUGCUGGAAGCUUUAUUGUGAUGUCUUGGACUGCCUCAUCUAGCUCCACUUCAAGAGGGUGGCAUCACUGUACGUACCCACAGAUUAGGCACCUUGAUGUGGGCAGCCCAGGAAAUGUGAGUCCCCAGAUGAGGGUGCCUCUGACUCUGCUUGUGUAAGGAACAUGUCGGUGGGGGAAUUCCCUGGGAAGGUGGGACACCAGUGGAGUCUUAACGAACCAGCCCAUGUUAUCCAGGAAGAGAAGAGUUGGAAUUCCAGGCCAAGAGAAUAGCGUGUGCAAAGGCACAGCACCGUGACAGGACACGGUGCCAACGGGAGGUCGUGAGUCGUUUGCAGUGGCUAGGACAGAGGGCCAUUUCGGGGAUCCUGCCAUGUUGCCCAGGCUGGCCUCAAACUCCUGGGCUCGAGCAACUCUCCUGCCUCAGCCUCCCAAAGUGCUGGGAUUAUAGGUGUGAGCCACCACUCCGGGCCUUUAACCAUUUUUAAAUGUACAAUUCAGUGGCGUUAAGUACAUUCAUAAUGUUGUGCAAACAUCACUACUAUCCAUCUCAAGAACUUUUUUUAUCAUCUCAAACAGAACCUGCACCCACUAAACAAUAACUCCCUGCCCCCCUUUCCCUAGCCUCCGAUGACCUCUAUUCUACUUCAUGCCUCUAUGAAUUGGCCUAUUUUAGAUGCUUCAUGUGAGUAGAAUCGUACAGUAUUUGUCUGUGUGUGCUUGUGUGUCUGGCUCAUUUCAUUUAGUAUAAUGAUUUCAAGUUUCUUCCAGGUCGUAGCACGUAUCAGAGUUUCAUGUCUAUUUAUGGCUGAAUAUUAUUAUUAUGUGAUGGAGUUCUGACUUUCCAGGAAGCACUGGGUUGCCGGGAGAGUUUUACAGUCGGAGGACACCUGCUGUUUCGGACACUCGGACCCUGGGUGCGGUGAUGAGGAGGAGGGAGAGGCCAGCAGGAGCCUGCAACAGAGUUCUGACCCUUUGAGCCCUGGUGUGGCCUCGCCUCCCUCCGGAAGCUUGUCCUCCACCCUGAAAGCCCCAGGGCCCUUUCUGUCUGCUGCAUUUCAGCAGCCGGACCACCCGUCACUGCUAUUCUUUUCAACCUUUUGGCUGUGAGGACGGACUCCCAGGCCAGGCCCCCAGCUUCUCCCUCUGAUCCCCAGGCACAGCCCAGUGCAUAGCUGAAGCCUCAGUGGACACUGGAGUUGGGGCUCAGGGAGCAGGGUCACCCCAGACAUCUCUGGCAGGCAUGCCUCUGCCGGAGCCCACUUCCACUCCUGCCUCUCCGGCUCCCAGCCCACCCUUUGGGUUUGGGCUGCAUCCCGCCAGCCAGCACACCACCCCUGGUGCCCCCGAAAAGUUUCAUCUCCUGAACUGGGUUGAAGGAGACAGAACAAGCCCCUGGGGUGUCGAUAACAGGGCUAUAAUCCAGCGGGAUGAGACUGAACUCUCUGGAGUCUCAUAGCAUUUUUCCAGCCCCGGCCACUUUAUUACUAUAUCGCUGACUGAUGGGGCUCAGGGGAGCUGCGGUUCCAGCAGCCGCUCCGCUGCCACACCCCACUUGCGAUUGAUCAAGCUGCAGUUGGGCUGAGCAAAUUCAUGCCCCUUCCUGCUCCCGGCGCUCUGUUUUCCCCUCCUCUUCCUCUCUCUUCUGCUCCUGAGGCUUCUGCUUCGGGCAGUGGAGAGUCGGUCUCUAUGACCACAGGCCUCGGGUGUGUGAGGGGCCAGCAGCUGCUGCCACUCUGGAGUCUGCAGACUCAGGCCUGCUUCCGCACUGUGUGACCUUGGGCAGGGGGCUCGCCCUCUCUGAGCCUCGGUCUCCUGCCCAGAGCAAUAAGGGGGGUUGACCUAAUGCACUCUGAGGUUUCAUUUAGCCCUGACUGCUCUGUGACUUAUUUUUUGAGUCUUUGAUGUGAAUUUCUACAAUGUUUCCUUCCAAGACUGUGACAGUGUGAAAGAACUGGAUGGGACUCACUUUCCCUCUACUCCCCAGGAGUUCCAGGCAAUGGGGGCAGCAUCUUUCCUUCCCCUUGGGAAACAUGGUACCAGCCCCAGGCCAGUGGGCUGGUGACUCUCUUCAAGCCUGCCUUAGAGUCCAACCCAUUAGGUCAGAACUCAUGGGGGAACCUGAUGCCAUCCUGACUCAGUCAAUGGGAGCCCACAAAGGGAGAGAAGUGGCAGAGCUGGGCUAGCAGAGAGCCCAGAGCUGCCUCCAGCCUCUGCUCUAAUUGUGCCCGCAGAUCGCUGGAUGCCUGUGUGCUCUAGAAGCUCUCUGGGGAAGGACAUUUUACAGACGAGAGAAUUUACCAGUCCUGGGUUUUAUAAGCGCAGUGCUGGGCCAAGUCACUCUCACCAGCAGUUGUCAAUGAUUUACCUUUCUUCCCAAGUAGGUGGAGAUAUUAACAAAAGGAUGGCUGGGCCUCACUUUAAGCAGCUGCAAAGAAGAAGGAUGAUUUUCUAAGAAGAGCUAUUUUUCCUGUCCGCCUUGAACGCUCUAUCUCCAGUCUUGUAAGACCAUCCUCCCGUUGACUGCAAGUAAAGUUCUAGAGGCUGGAAUGUCCAAGAUCUAGAUGCUGGCAGAUUUGGUGACUGAUGAGGGCUCUCUUCCUGGCUGUAGAGAGCCUCCUUCUCACUGCGUGCUCACGUGGUCAUUCCUCCGAGCAACCACGUGCAGGAAAAAGGAAGAGGGAGGUAACCUGAUGAAUCUUCCUGGUGUGAAGCUUGUCUAUACUGUGAAUUGUGUCCUUAGGAAAGACUCCAGAAAGGACUGGCAAGGAAACUUCUGGCAGGGCCCGCAGAUGCAGGAAGCAAAGUGUUCAAGAGAGCAGGAAAGCUUCUGGCUCAUGGCGUCAAGUUCCUGAACCAGAGAUGAGGUUUCACACCACGCCCUGGAACGGCCCCAGUUAAAAACUCGUGAACAUUUUGUUGAGGUUCCUGCUUUACAGAUUGUUAAACUGUUUUCUUGUAAAACUUCAUGAUCUUUGCAAGCUAAGCCAUUGUCCAGAGGAGACGGCUGAAGCUUGAACUGACCAGAGUGGUGCUUCUGGAAAGGUUCUGUGGGUAUGAAUCACAGGGCAUCCUAUUAAAAUGGAUUCUGAUUCAGCUGAUCUGGGGUGAGGUCCAAAUUGCAUUUCCAACAGGCCCCCAGGUGAUGUGGACACCACUGGCCUGAGGACCUCACCAGAGUAGAGAAGUGUGAGGGGACUUAGGCGAGCCACAUGCAUCGUCAGUGACUGAGCCGGUCCAUGUCUAGCUGACUCCAAAGCCUGUGGCCUCUCUCUGCUGUUCCCAUGUAGAAUCCUGCAGCCCCACCUCUCACUUUGCAGGUGAGGGAGGGGAGACAGAGAGGCUUCCGCUGGAGGGGGAAGGUGGCUUUGUUCAGGGAGGGGGCUGCCUUUCCCAGGCCCGUCCUCCACCUUGAGGAAGAGAGGGAUGGAGUGGAUGGUCUCUUGAGUGGGGAAGUGCCACCGCUGGGCAGCCAUCAGUGUUAGAAAAAUUAAUAUUUUAAUUAAAAACAUCCUUUUUC